rnacentral:rRNA from 1 species
GAUGAACGCUGGCGGCGUGCCUAAUACAUGCAAGUCGAGCGAACAGACGAGGAGCUUGCUCCUCUGACGUUAGCGGCGGACGGGUGAGUAACACGUGGAUAACCUACCUAUAAGACUGGGAUAACUUCGGGAAACCGGAGCUAAUACCGGAUAAUAUAUUGAACCGCAUGGUUCAAUAGUGAAAGACGGUUUUGCUUUCACUUAUAGAUGGAUCCGCGCCGCAUUAGCUAGUUGGUAAGGUAACGGCUUACCAAGGCGACGAUGCGUAGCCGACCUGAGAGGGUGAUCGGCCACACUGGAACUGAGACACGGUCCAGACUCCUACGGGAGGCAGCAGUAGGGAAUCUUCCGCAAUGGGCGAAAGCCUGACGGAGCAACGCCGCGUGAGUGAUGAAGGUCUUCGGAUCGUAAAACUCUGUUAUUAGGGAAGAACAAAUGUGUAAGUAACUAUGAACGUCUUGACGGUACCUAAUCAGAAAGCCACGGCUAACUACGUG